rnacentral:misc_RNA from 1 species
GCGCCACGCCUCCCUCGCCGACCUCUCCGCCCGCCUCUCCACCUCCCUCCUCUCCGGCCGCCCCUUCACCCUCAAGUACCAGCUUCCUAACGAGGACCUCGACUCCCUCAUCUCCGUCACCACCGACGAAGACCUCGAGAACAUGAUUGAGGAGUACGACCGCAUCUCCGCCGCCUCCUCCUCCUCCUCUCGCCUUCGCCUCUUCCUCUUCCCCGCCAAGACCGACUCCGCCACCUCCUCCAUUGGGUCCCUCGUCGACGACUCG